rnacentral:rRNA from 1 species
UACGUAGGGGGCAAGCGUUGUCCGGAUUUAUUGGGCGUAAAGAGCUCGUAGGCGGUUUGUCGCGUCUGCCGUGAAAGUCCGGGGGCUCAACUCCGGAUCUGCGGUGGGUACGGGCAGACUAGAGUGAUGUAGGGGGAGACUGGAAUUCCUGGUGUAGCGGUGAAAUGCGCAGAUAUCAGGAAGAACACCGACGGCGAAGGCAGCUCGCUGGGACGGUACUGACGCUGAGGCGCGAAAGCGUGGGGAGCGAACAGG